rnacentral:rRNA from 1 species
UACGAAGGGGGCUAGCGUUGCUCGGAAUGACUGGGCGUAAAGGCGCGUAGGCGGCCAACUAAGUCAGACGUGAAAUCCCUCGGCUCAACCGGGGAACUGCGUCUGAUACUGGAUGGCUUGAAUUCGGGAGAGGGAUGCGGAAUUCCAGGUGUAGCGGUGAAAUGCGUAGAUAUCUGGAGGAACACCGGUGGCGAAGGCGGCAUCCUGGACCGAGAUUGACGCUGACUGC